CGGCCGGACGGGUCCGUCGGGAAAUCCACGCGCCCAACGCGUGGGCGUCCGGCGGAUACCAUCCGGCUUGGGACCGAACGACCCGAGGGGUACGUCCGGGGUAGGAGUGAAAUCCCGUAAUCCCGGACGGACCGCCGAUGGCGAAAGCACCUCGGGAGGACGGAUCCGACGGUGAGGGACGAAAGCUGGGGUCUCGAACCGGAUUAGAUACCCGGGUAGUCCCAGCCGUAAACGAUGUUCGCUAGGUGUGGCGCCGACCACGAGUCGGCGCUGCGCCGCAGGGAAGCCGCUAAGCGAACCGCCUGGGAA
rnacentral:rRNA from 1 species